rnacentral:lncRNA from 1 species
AAAGUCAUAUUGGUGGUUGUGUAGUUAAGUUAGUUGUCGUUCUAACUGCAUAUAACAUGGGAGUUGAAACCAUACUCAGUGAAGCCAAGUCAUUUAUCAUGCAUCACAGUGCCGUGAGAUUAGCAUCUAGCUAUAGCUAUUUUGCACUUACUUGAAACUAAAUAAUUAUUUGGCUCAUCUCAUGCGCCAUCUUCCCGCGGUUAUAGACAAGACGAACCAAAUAGACACUCUCGAGCCGCUACAAAAGUGAGAAGUUUGCCACGUGUCAAAUUAAAAAAGGGCAGAAGAGAGAUAUUUAAAAAGAUAAAAUAAAAUAAAAUAAACAAAAGCCGCAAUAAAAUAUAAUAUCUAAUCUCUCAAAAUGGAAUAAAACCAGAGAUAUACCCUUUCUAAACAAACGGAUAUUCCAGAACCGACCUCCCGAAUAUUCUUCUCUUACCGUUAUAUCUCCCACGCCCACCCUUUUCUCUGCC